ensembl:lncRNA novel transcript
ACCCUUAUCUCCCUUCCCUGACUCUCUUUUCGGACUCAGCCCACCUGCACCCAAGUGAUUAAAAGCUUUUAUUGCUCACACAAAGCCUGUUUGGUGGUCUCCUCACAUGGACACGCAUGAAAUUUGGUGCCAUGACUCGGAUCAGGGGACCUCCCUUGGGAGAUCAAUCCCCUGUCCUCCUGUUCUUUGCUCCAUGAAAAAGAUCCACCUACGACCUCAGGUCCUCAGACCCACCAGCCCAAGGAACAUUUCACCAAUUUUAAAUCGGGAGGCAGGAAUGUCAGGCCUCUGAGCCCAAGCCAAGCCAUCGCAUCCCCUGUGACUUGCACAUAUACGCCCAGAUGGCCUGAAGUAACUGAAGAACCACAAAAGAAGUGAAUAUGCCCUGCCCCACCUUAACUGAUGACAUUCCACCACAAAAAAAGUGAAAAUGGCCUGUUCUUGCCUUAACUGAUGACAUUGUCUUGUGAAAUUCCUUCUCCUGGCUCAUCCUGUCUCAAAAGCUCCCCCACUGAGCACCUUGUGACCCCCCACUCUGCCCGCCAGAGAACAACUCCCCUUCGACUGUAAUUUUCCUUUAUUUACCCAAAUCCUAUAAAACGGCCCCACCCUUAUCUCCCUUCCCGGACUCUCUUUUCAGACUCAGCCCGCCUGCACCCAGGUGAUUAAAAGCUUUUAUUGCUCACA